AGGACGAACGCUGGCGGCGUGCUUAACACAUGCAAGUCGAGCGGUGAUCCUCCUUCGGGAGGUGAUCAGCGGCGAACGGGUGAGUAACACGUGGGCAACCUGCCCCUCACACUGGGAUAACCUCGGGAAACCGGGGCUAAUACCGGAUACGACCUCGAGCGGCAUCUCUUGAGGUGGAAAGCUCCGACGGUGAGGGAUGGGCCCGCGGCCUAUCAGCUUGUUGGUGGGGUAAUGGCCUACCAAGGCGACGACGGGUAGCCGGCCUGAGAGGGCGACCGGCCACACUGGGACUGAGACACGGCCCAGACUCCUACGGGAGGCAGCAGUGGGGAAUAUUGCGCAAUGGGCGAAAGCCUGACGCAGCGACGCCGCGUGAGGGAUGAAGGCCUUCGGGUUGUAAACCUCUUUCAGCAGGGACGAAGCGAAAGUGACGGUACCUGCAGAGAAGCACCGGCUAACUACGUGCCAGCAGCCGC
rnacentral:rRNA from 1 species